AUUGAACGCUGGCGGCAUGCCUUACACAUGCAAGUCGAACGGUAACAGGUCUUCGGAUGCUGACGAGUGGCGAACGGGUGAGUAAUACAUCGGAACGUGCCCGAGAGUGGGGGAUAACGAGGCGAAAGCUUUGCUAAUACCGCAUACGAUCUCAGGAUGAAAGCAGGGGACUGCAAGGCCUUGCGCCCACGGGGCGGCCGAUGGAAGAUGAGGUAGUUGGUGGGAUAAAAGCUUACCAAGCCGACGAUCUGUAGCUGGUCUGAGAGGACGACCAGCCACACUGGGACUGAGACACGGCCCAGACUCCUACGGGAGGCAGCAGUGGGGAAUUUUGGACAAUGGGCGCAAGCCUGAUCCAGCCAUGCCGCGUGCAGGAUGAAGGCCUUCGGGUUGUAAACUGCUUUUGUACGGAACGAAAAGACUCUGGUUAAUACCUGGGGUCCAUGACGGUACCGUAGGAAUAAGCACCGGCUAACUACGUGCCAGCCGCCGCCGUAAUAC
rnacentral:rRNA from 1 species